GAUGAACGCUGGCGGCGUGCCUAAUACAUGCAAGUCGAGCGAACGGACGAGAAGCUUGCUUCUCUGAUGUUAGCGGCGGACGGGUGAGUAACACGUGGAUAACCUACCUAUAAGACUGGGAUAACUUCGGGAAACCGGAGCUAAUACCGGAUAAUAUUUUGAACCGCAUGGUUCAAAAGUGAAAGACGGUCUUGCUGUCACUUGUAGAUGGAUCCGCGCUGCAUUAGCUAGUUGGUAAGGUAACGGCUUACCAAGGCAACGAUGCAUAGCCGACCUGAGAGGGUGAUCGGCCACACUGGAACUGAGACACGGUCCAGACUCCUACGGGAGGCAGCAGUAGGGAAUCUUCCGCAAUGGGCGAAAGCCUGACGGGGCAACGCCGCGUGAGUGAUGAAGGUCUUCGGAUCGUAAAACUCUGUUAUUAGGGAAGAACAUAUGUGUAAGUAACUGUGCACAUCUUGACGGUACCUAAUCAGAAAGCCACGGCUAACUACGUG
rnacentral:rRNA from 1 species